ACUAUCUUCAUCAUCGAGAUCGAGUGUUGGACACUGGUACUUUUACUUUUAAGAGAGUCGGUGUUGUGUUGUGUGUGAACAUAGUUGAGGCUAUGAUCGUGCCGUAUUGUUUGUGGAUUGAAUUGACUUCUUGGGAUAAAUCACAAACAGAGCUUGAAGCAACAAAAUUAUGGAACGCAAGCAAAUCCCCAAUUUUCUCAAUCGUUACCUCACUGUACUCUUUGGCUCAAUGUGUAGGGAGUUAGGUAUCCUGGAACUCCCCACAGUUCUGGACUUCCACGAGUACAAACAGACAAGUAUAUGGAACAUCUCGUGUCAGGGCUUUUAGCCUAUGUAUGUGCCGGGAGUGAGUUAUCGGGCUUGACAGGUCUCUAUCUCUCUCUCUCUCUCUCUCUCUCUCUAUCUCUCCAGCAUCCGCGUAAAAAUAGUUCAAAAAAACGUAUGGAAAUUGGUUUAAAAUUCGCAGUGGAGUCUACCAUAGUACGUAUGAUAAUCUUCCCGUGUCCGUUUUCAUUCUUGGCGAAAAAACCGGAUCCGCCGGGUUCUGCUGAUUAUUGUCGAGUGAUUUCCAAAACUCUCAAGAAAAAUUGAAUCGAUCAGGCGUCAAGUUACGAAUUCGGUAGAUUUUAAGGCAUUUUCAUUCUGUUUCAGUAUGAUUCCUGUAACAUUCUUGCCAAAAAUUGGUAUUUUGUUGGUUCAUGCCAUGGAUAACUUCCGCUUUGCUGUCUAUGGAUCCGCGUGCAGAUGCGGAGUGGAUAUAGGAAAGCGGAUCGUGAUGAUAGCAUAUGAUGUUUUUUAUUUUUCCUAAACUUUUUUUUGUGUUAUGGGUGUUAUGGAAAAAUGGGCGUCAUGGAUAUGGAAACUACGAAAAAAGAGGGUGUAUUGAGUUACAUUAUUGACACCAAAAUGCUAGUCAGAGGGACCAAGGGCAGUUUGGUUGUGAUGUAAAUAUAUGAGCCUUUUUUAGAACUCAAUAUAACUCAUUCCUGCUCUUUAAAUCCAUGUUGAGAGAAGACAAAUGGAAAUAGUGAAGGGGAGGCGCGGUCGUGGCCGGAGUGGUUGGUGGUGCGCGGCAAAAACAAUGGGGGGUGUUGUAGGGUGGUGGCUUUUGAGGAUGAAGGAUAUGAAUGUCGUGGGUUGUAUGAGAAAAGGUAAAAGAUCCACUUCUUCCAUGUUAUGACAUUAGUUUGGCCUUUCGCUGGUUUAUUUUAAAAUUUUUUAAUUGCUUGAGUUUUUAUGGAUUUUUUUUAAUAGUUAUGUAAUUGGUUAAUAAAAAAUUAUAACUUUUAGAUUUUAUUUUCAAAUUUGAUUAUUAAAACUUAUACUCUCAUCAACAAAAAUCGAGAGAGAAAUAUAAAAAGUUUUGUCCAAAAAGUGAAAAGACGAAAAAAUUAAAGAUCAAAGCAAUAAUUUUUUUUAACAAAAAAUUUAGGUCAAAUUGGGCUAUGAUGUUUCGGUCAAGGAUAUUUUCGCAAAAGUUAGAGAAAUCAUUUUUGGAUCUCGGAUUUAUAUGUAGUGAGCUCACAAAAAUGUAAGUAUCACAACAUGGAGUAUGCACUGUUUAUGCAAUUUAUAAUAAUGUAUUGUUUCUAGAAAAAUGAUAUAUUUUUGACAUGCUGCAUAUGAUAUUAUUUAGGAAAAAAAUGGCCAAUAUAAUAUAACUUUUUGUGUCACUUUUGAGUUCUAUCAAGUUUUAAUCUGGACAAUUAAAUCCCAUUUUUUAAAUUUUAAUACAACUAAGUUUAAAUUAUCAUAUUAUCCUAUGCUAUUUUUAUUUUGCCUUUUGGCAUCAAAAUAUAAUAGCACUAAUGUACCUAAUUUCAAUUCGCACAAAGAUCAUUUUUUUUGAAUUAAACAUAUUUUUUUUCGUUUUAGUAUUUUACUUUAUCUAGCUUCUUUUUUAAAAAAACAAAUAUCAUUGUUCACUUAUUUAAUCUAUUAUUUGUAAAUAAACAUGAUUGUAUUUUUAUAAUUUGCAUAAUUCUAAAAAAAAAAAAAGAGUUUAACUAAGUUAAAAUUAAUAAUAUAAGCGUAAUUAUUGGUUUGAGAAAAAUUAAGAUGUGCCUAAUUCUUACCCCAAAAAACAUAAUUUUAAGUAAAUUAGAAUUGAUUACAAAAGUGAAAUUCAUAUUUUAUUAAAAAUGGGUAAACAUGUAAUAAAAUGCACUUUUAUGGCAACUUAAACUUAGUUGUACCAAAUUAAUGGAAAUAGAACUUGAUUAUCCAAAUAAAAAAUUGAUAGAAUUUAAUUGUAACUUUGAAUAAAAUGUUGUACUUCUUGGUCACUUUCCUUAUUAUUUACUCAAUAUGGAAUUACUAAUUGAUUUUUUUUUUAAUUUGUUUCAUAAUCUUUCUAUGAUGUUUGGGCAUAGUGGUACUUCAUAUGAGUUUCUUUUGGGUACCAUGGAGGGAGGGAAAGAGGAGAAUCUUCAUAAUUUUUACAUGUCUGCAUAGUGUUGGUUAGACUGUACAAGAGAAAGAAAAAACAAAAAAAAAAUCAAAAUUGUUCUCGGAAUUUGGACGAAAAAAAGUUUUUUGAAAUUAAAAUCAUAGUUUAGAUGUUUUUUUCACUUCAGUUGGUGAGUACAAAACAUCUAUUUUUGAAUUUAGAAUUAUGUUGGUCUUUAAAUUCGGGGACAAUAUGUUUCUAAAAAUAUCCACUAUGUUAUUUUACAUAUUUAUUGAAUCCUACUAAGUUUGGGUGCACAAAAGAUUUAAAGAAUCGAGAGAAACCGAACCAACCCGAUCUAUUGGGUCGGUUGGUUCGGAUUCUACCAUGAAACAUUAGUUCGGUUCUGGGUCCUAAAAAAUUGUAGACUCGAAUAAUUCGGUUCAGUGAGAAAAAAUCUGAGAGUUCAAAGAACACACAAAAAUUUGGAAUUUCAUCAGGAGAAAAAACAAAAGAGUUUCUGGCAUUCUGUAUUAGAAUCAUUCGUGUGAAAGCGGACACACCUUCUAGUCGCCACAAACACACAAAAGUCUUGUGCUAAUUUUUGUGAUUGAUAUCAUUGUAUCAUGGGAGACAGACGCCAAACAGCUGUAAGCACUAGUGAUUGGGUUGAAUUGUCUUAAGGAAGACAGUGUUUGAACGCGGGCCUCAAUAUCUUUUGUUAAUUUUAUGAUUAUCUGUUAUUAUUUUUAAUACAGUUUCUGUUUAUUUCUAAUUUAUUUUUCAAUAAUACUCAGCAGUUAAUGAAUUUAAUUACAUAAUUGGUGAGAUAAAAUGUCUAAAAAAAUACUCUUCGCAGCGGUCACAUCAGACCCAACCAUUUUCUGAACCGGGGCACUAUUGGACUUGCUAGAGACCCAAAAGUGAAAUUAAAUGAUAAAAUUGUCGAACAAUAUAUCUACAUGGACUUAAAUUAAAGAAUUUAUUUUAAUGAAAUUAGGGGACGAUUCUUGUCAUUCUCUUUACUUUGCAAGUUUUAUUUUUGUCGUUGUCUUCUAAUUUUAUCCAAACGAUUCUUCUCGCCCCUAGAAGGAAACUGAGGAUGUGUUUGAGGAGAGAGAGAAUGGCCAGGGACUAGAUCAUGGAGAUUGAUGGGAAAUUCAUUCUAAACCAGGCUCUUCAGAACCUCAUGAAAUGCCUUUGAAGGGCCUCACCUUUGCUGUUAAAGACAUGCGAGUCCCUUCCCCUACUGAAUUCCAUGCAUUUUUCCUCCUAAUGACUCCUUAAUUUUUUUUGGAUCAAUCUCUUUAUGCUUGUUUCCAAGUGAUUACAAAUUCCUAACACAAUUUCAGCUACUGGGUACUUUCAAUUCUCUAUUGUAUGUAUAUAUGAUAUUCAAGCGUAAAUAAUUCUUAAAAUGGAUUGAUUUUGUUUCUUGCACUUUUUUUUCCAUUUACAAAUUCUUAAAAUUAUUUGUUUUUCAUUCCUGGUUUUAUGUCUUCCCUAACGGAUAGAACAAUUUAGGUCAUUGGGUUCAGAUAGUUUAUGAUUAUGUAGCAUGUUUGUGAGUUUUAUUUCCUUUUAAUAUGAAAA
rnacentral:lncRNA from 1 species